GAAGAAGAAGAAGAAGAAAAGAAAGGGGGCAGUAAUUGUUUUUAACAAGAGCAAGAAAGGGUAUUUUGCGGUGUCUGUGAUUUUGGUGGGUUUUGGAAAAAAGAUGCAGCGAGAUCAUCCCAAGAAGGACUUAAAAGAUAUGGACUUUUUCACCGAGUACGGGGAUGCCAAUAGAUACAAAAUUCUGGAAGUUAUAGGAAAAGGAAGCUAUGGAGUUGUUUGUGCUGCAAUUGACACUCACACUGGAGAAAAAGUGGCAAUAAAAAAGAUCCAUGAUGUUUUUGAGCACAACUCUGAUGCUAUUAGGAUCUUGCGAGAAGUCAAGUUACUUAGGCUUUUACGACAUCCUGAUAUUGUAGAAAUUAAGCGCAUCAUGUUGCCAUCCUCAAAGAGGGAGUUUAAAGACAUAUUUGUUGUUUUUGAGCUCAUGGAGUCUGAUCUUCACCAAGUCAUCAAAGCUAAUGAUGAUUUGACACGUGAACACCAUCAGUUUUUUCUUUAUCAGAUGUUAAGAGCAUUGAAAUACAUGCAUACGGGUGAUGGUUUCUUCCUCCUUUUUUUUUCCCCUUUUCUGUAAUGGUUUUUUUAUUGCUCUCUUGCUUGUGUUGACACCCUUUACGAUGCUUUCAGUGCAUUUGUAUCUUAUGAGCAAAGACUAUUGCCAUAUUGUAUGAUUCCACCAUUUUUGUUUUAAUUUAAUUUUUUAAAUUUUGAUGAAUAUUUUGGCCAUCUCUGUUCUGAAUGUAAGUUUUGCUGUUGCAGCAAAUGUUUACCAUAGAGAUCUUAAACCCAAGAAUAUAUUGGCAAAUGCAAAUUGCAAGCUUAAAGUUUGUGACUUUGGACUCGCUAGAGUAGCAUUUAGUGAUACACCAACCACUGUUUUUUGGACGGACUAUGUUGCAACAAGAUGGUAUAGGGCUCCAGAGCUGUGUGGCUCUUUUUCUUCAAAGUAUACACCAGCAAUUGAUAUUUGGAGUAUUGGCUGCAUAUUUGCUGAGGUAUUGACAGGGAAGCCAUUGUUUCCGGGUAAAAGUGUUGUUCAUCAGCUGGAUUUGAUCACUGAUCUUCUUGGGACUCCUUCACCAGAAACUAUUUCCGGAGUUCGAAAUGAGAAGGCAAGGAAGUACUUGACAGAAAUGAGGAAAAAACAGCCUGUGCCAUUUACACUCAAAUUUCCAAAUGCAGAUCCUUUAGCACUUAAGCUGUUGCAAAGACUUUUAGCAUUUGAUCCAAAAGAUCGACCUACUGCUGAACAGGCAUUAGCUGAUCCUUACUUUAAAGGCUUAGCCAAAAUUGAGAGAGAACCUUCUUGUCAGCCAAUCUCAAAGUUGGAGUUUGAGUUUGAGAGACGAAGGGUGACAAAGGAGGAUAUCCGGGAAUUGCUGUACCGCGAAAUACUGGAGUAUCAUCCACAGCUGCUCAAAGACUACAUGAAUGGAAAUGAAGGCACUAACUUUCUCUAUCCUAGUGCAAUUGGUCAAUUUAGAAAGCAGUUUGCCUAUCUUGAGGAAAACAGUGGUCGAAGUGCACCAGUGAUUCCUCUAGAGAGGAAGCAUGUCUCUCUUCCACGGUCUACUGUACACACAAAUACAAUCCCUCCUAAUAUGCAAUCAAGUUCAACUGCAUUUGAUAACCGGCAAGUUGCAGAAGAUGCUUCAAAAAAUUGUAGAGCAACAGAUGCAAUUUCUGGAAAUGCAUUGAAGGUAUCUCGACCUCCACCCAGAGUACCAACAGGUAUAAGCAAAUUCAUUUUGCUUGCUUUUUGUAAUUUGACAGUAAAAGCCUCUUUGAUUGUUGUAGUCAGAAUUUUAACAUGGUUUUUGACAUUCAGAAGUUUUUAUGUUAGAGCCUACGUUAUUUGGAUUGUUCUAUGCGUAUAUUUGGAUCCCCUGAAAUUUCUGAUGUUUCAGAGCUUUCAAAGUAGAUUUCUGUUAUUAUUAUACCUUGAUAACAUGUGGCAAGGAUUGUUUCUAUGGUGUCAAUCCAUGAGUGGUAUGCCAUUUACCUGCCUACUGUAAGAAUUGAUAUUGUUUUGAGGCUCAGAAAAGAGAAUUUUGUGUCUAGUUUUUCUUAUUAAUUGUUUAACUAAAUGUCAUUGAAAGUAUAUUAUCCCAUCUUUGCCCUUGUUUGGGAUCCAACUUGCUUUCUUUUCUAUUCGAUUGACUGUUUUCUCCCCUUGCUUUCUUUUGGUGCACAGCAAAGCCAGGGAGAGUUGUUGGAUCAGUCGUACCAUAUGAAAAUAGCAGAAACAUCAAAGAUGCUUACGAUGCAAGGAUAUUUUAUAGAAAUGCAGUCCUCCCUCCACAGCAGACAGUGUCUCCUCACUGUUUCUUCAGGAACAACGCAAUGGCACAAGAAAAGUUGACUGUGUCUGAGAAGGAUACUUCGCUAGCAAAACAACCACUGCCCGAGUGUAACAUGGCAGCAAAACCAGGACCAGUCAUGGCGAUUGACAUGAAUACCAUCCCGUACUAUCAACCAAAAGCUAAGGUGGAACAAUUAAAUGAGCGAAUUGCUAUAGAUGCAAAACUGCUGCAGGCACAAUCACAAUUUGGUGCAGCUGCCGUAGCUGUAGCUGCUCAUAGGAAUGUGGGAACUGUUCAAUAUGGAUUGUCCUAGGUGUACUGGCCUGCGAAGAAUCUAAUCGAGAAUGUUGGGAAAUUGGAGAUCUAUGGGUCUCUUCCUUGAGAGAGGGUCUGUCUUUACAGUCCUAGUCCAGUCCCUGCAGUAUCUAUUUAAGUCCUCGUGUAAUUAGAAUCAGACGGCAUUGAUUUUAUUAAUGAAAAUAAAUUCCCUUUGUAUUAGAAG
rnacentral:misc_RNA from 1 species